UACGUAGGGAGCAAGCGUUGUCCGGAUUUACUGGGUGUAAAGGGUGCGUAGGCGGCUUGGUAAGUCAGGUGUGAAAUGUAGAGGCUCAACCUCUGAACUGCACUUGAAACUAUCGAGCUUGAGUGAUGUAAAGGCAGGCGGAAUUCCCUGUGUAGCGGUGUAAUGCGUAGAGAUAGGGAGGAACACCAGUGGCGAAGGCGGCCUGCUGGGCAUUAACUGUCGCUGAGGCACGAAAGCGUGGGCAGCAAAC
rnacentral:rRNA from 1 species